CACGUGCAAUGUCCAGAGAUGGCGGCAGGCCCCGCUAUCACGCAGGCUCCCCAGGCAUCUGGAACUCAGCAGACGACCACCAUGGCCAGCAGUUUGGUGAACACUGCAGCGGCCGGUAUUGCUUCUAUCUGGAGGGGAUUCACUGGCAGGUAUAUUUAGGGUACAAAACUCCUCCGGUGAACAGUUAGGUACCAAAGAGGUACGAAUGUUUAAUUUGAAGGCACUACUCGUUAGGAAAACGUGGGGCUCAAGUGAAAAGAAGAGGCCCCUAAGCAAAAAAAUUAACAACCAUACUUCUUUCACAAUAUAUUUCAGAUUUAAAUUCCGUUUUGGAUUGAGAAUAUUUUUGUCAAUAGCUGUAAAUAAGCAAUCUCUCUUGAUUUCAAUUGAUGAAAAUCAAGUUGCACGAAAAGUUCGUUUUAUAUUAGCUUUGUAUAUAAGGCGAAAAUAUUUUUUUAUGUCAAAAAAAUUUCUCAAAUGUAUGUAGAAUAGACAAGUAUUUAUUGACAUUUUUUGUAAUUCGGUUGACUGAUUCCUGAUGCUACAUAUUAAUAAACUAAUUGUUUCAUUUUUUA